GUGAUUCGUCACACUAUCAUUAACUGAAUCCAUAGGUUAAUGAGGCGAACCGGGGGAACUGAAACAUCUAAGUACCCCGAGGAAAAGAAAUCAACCGAGAUUCCCCCAGUAGCGGCGAGCGAACGGGGAGGAGCCCAGAGCCUGAAUCAGCAUGUGUGUUAGUGGAAGCGUCUGGAAAGGCGCGCGAUACAGGGUGACAGCCCCGUACACAAAAGCGCAUGUGCUGUGAGCUCGAUGAGUAGGGCGGGACACGUGGUAUCCUGUCUGAAUAUGGGGGGACCAUCCUCCAAGGCUAAAUACUCCUGACUGACCGAUAGUGAACCAGUACCGUGAGGGAAAGGCGAAAAGAACCCCGGCGAGGGGAGUGAAAAAGAACCUGAAACCGUGUACGUACAAGCAGUGGGAGCACCCUUCGGGGUGUGACUGCGUACCUUUUGUAUAAUGGGUCAGCGACUUAUAUUCUGUAGCAAGGUUAACCGUAUAGGGGAGCCGGAGGGAAACCGAGUCUUAACCGGGCGUUAAGUUGCAGGGUAUAGACCCGAAACCCGGUGAUCUAGCCAUGGGCAGGUUGAAGGUUGGGUAACACUAACUGGAGGACCGAACCGACUAAUGUUGAAAAAUUAGCGGAUGACCUGUGGCUGGGGGUGAAAGGCCAAUCAAACCGGGAGAUAGCUGGUUCUCCCCGAAAGCUAUUUAGGUAGCGCCUCGUGAAUUCAUCUCCGGGGGUAGAGCACUGUUUCGGCUAGGGGGCCAUCCCGGCUUACCAACCCGAUGCAAACUGCGAAUACCGGAGAAUGUUAUCACGGGAGACACACGGCGGGUGCUAACGUCCGUCGUGAAGAGGGAAACAACCCAGACCGCCAGCUAAGGUCCCAAAGUCAUGGUUAAGUGGGAAACGAUGUGGGAAGGCCCAGACAGCCAGGAUGUUGGCUUAGAAGCAGCCAUCAUUUAAAGAAAGCGUAAUAGCUCACUGGUCGAGUCGGCCUGCGCGGAAGAUGUAACGGGGCUAAACCAUGCACCGAAGCUGCGGCAGCGAACGUAUCACCCAAGACAACUUUACGGAGUUGACGAUUGACGGAGCGAAGCGACGUCAAAGCGUUCAUUAAAGUCGAGUUGGCUUAGGGAUACGUUCGUUGGGUAGGGGAGCGUUCUGUAAGCCUGUGAAGGUGUGUCGUGAGGCAUGCUGGAGGUAUCAGAAGUGCGAAUGCUGACAUAAGUAACGAUAAAGCGGGUGAAAAGCCCGCUCGCCGGAAGACCAAGGGUUCCUGUCCAACGUUAAUCGGGGCAGGGUGAGUCGACCCCUAAGGCGAGGCCGAAAGGCGUAGUCGAUGGGAAACGGGUUAAUAUUCCCGUACUUGGUGUUACUGCGAAGGGGGGACGGAGAAGGCUAUGUUGGCCGGGCGACGGUUGUCCCGGUUUAAGCGUGUAGGUGUGUGUUCCAGGUAAAUCCGGUUCACUUUAACACUGAGGCGUGACGACGAGGCACUACGGUGCUGAAGCAACAAAUGCCCUGCUUCCAGGAAAAGCCUCUAAGCAUCAGGUAACACGAAAUCGUACCCCAAACCGACACAGGUGGUCAGGUAGAGAAUACCAAGGCGCUUGAGAGAACUCGGGUGAAGGAACUAGGCAAAAUGGUGCCGUAACUUCGGGAGAAGGCACGCUGACACGUAGGUGAAGUGAUUUACUCAUGGAGCUGAAGUCAGUCGAAGAUACCAGCUGGCUGCAACUGUUUAUUAAAAACACAGCACUGUGCAAACACGAAAGUGGACGUAUACGGUGUGACGCCUGCCCGGUGCCGGAA
rnacentral:rRNA from 1 species